rnacentral:rRNA from 1 species
UGCCAGCCGCCGCGGUAAUACGAAUGGGGCGAGCGUUGUUCGGAAUAACUGGGCUUAAAGGGUGUGUAGGCGGUUUGUUAAGUUGGAUGUGAAAGCCUGUGGCUCAACCACAGAAUAGCGUCCAAAACUAUCAAACUUGAGUACGGAGGAAGAGAGUGGAAUUCUAGGUGUAGCGGUGAAAUGCGUAGAUAUCUAGGAGAAGACCAGUGGCGAAAGCGACUCUCUAUUUCGAUACUGACGCUGAGACACGAAAGCUAGGGUAGCGAACGGGAUUAGAUA